rnacentral:rRNA from 1 species
CCUACGGGGGGCUGCAGUGAGGAAUAUUGGUCAAUGGACGAGAGUCUGAACCAGCCAAGUCGCGUGAAGGAAGACGGUUCUAUGAAUUGUAAACUUCUUUUGUGCAGGAAUAAAGUGGGUUACGUGUAACCUUUUGUAUGUACUGUACGAAUAAGGAUCGGCUAACUCCGUGCCAGCAGCCGCGGUAAUACGGAGGAUCCGAGCGUUAUCCGGAUUUAUUGGGUUUAAAGGGUGCGUAGGUGGAUUGAUAAGUCAGCGGUGAAAGUUUGCAGCUUAACUGUAAAAUUGCCGUUGAAACUGUCGGUCUUGAGUGCAAAUGAGGUAGGCGGAAUGUGUUGUGUAGCGGUGAAAUGCUUAGAUAUAACACAGAACUCCGAUUGCGAAGGCAGCUUACUGGGAUGCAACUGACACUGAUGCACGAAAGCGUGGGUAUCAAACAGGAUUAGAUACCCGAGUAGUC